rnacentral:rRNA from 1 species
UACGGAGGGGGCUAGCGUUGUUCGGAAUUACUGGGCGUAAAGCGCACGUAGGCGGCUUUGUAAGUUAGAGGUGAAAGCCCGGGGCUCAACUCCGGAAUUGCCUUUAAGACUGCAUCGCUAGAAUUGUGGAGAGGUAAGUGGAAUUCCGAGUGUAGAGGUGAAAUUCGUAGAUAUUCGGAAGAACACCAGUGGCGAAGGCGGGUUGCUGGGCUGACACUGACGCUGAAGCGCGAAAGCUAGGGGAGCGAACGGG